rnacentral:rRNA from 1 species
UACGGGAGGCAGCAGUGGGGAAUAUUGCACAAUGGGCGAAAGCCUGAUGCAGCUAUGCCGCGUGUAUGAAGAAGGCCUUAGGGUUGUAAAGUACUUUCAUCGGGGAGGAAAAAACAAAACUAAUAAUUUUAUUUCUUGACGUUACCCGAAAAAGAAGCACCGGCUAACUCCGUGCCAGCAGCCGCGGUAAUACGGAGGGUGCUAGCGUUAAUCAGAAUUACUAGGCGUAAAGAGCACGUAGGUGGUUUUUUUAAGUCAGAUGUGAAAUCCCUGGGCUUAACCUAGGAACUGCAUUUUGAAACUGAAAUACUAGAGUAUCGUAGAGGGAGGUAGAAUUCUAGGUGUAGCGGUGAAAUGCGUAGAUAUCUGGAGGAAUACCUGUGGCGAAAGCGGCCUCCUAAACGAAUACUGACACUGAGGGUGCGAAAGCGUGGGGAGCAAACGAGGGAUUAGAU